rnacentral:rRNA from 1 species
UGGGGAAUAUUGCGCAAUGGCCGCAAGGCUGACGCAGCGACGCCGCGUGUGGGAUGACGCUCUUCGGGGUGUAAACCACUGUUGCCCGGGACGAACGCCACCCUUUGGGGUGGGUGACGGUACCGGGUGAGGAAGCACCGGCUAACUCCGUGCCAGCAGCCGCGGUAAUACGGAGGGUGCGAGCGUUGUCCGGAAUCACUGGGCGUAAAGGGCGCGUAGGCGGCAAGCUAAGCGUGCGGUGAAAGCCCGGGGCUCAACCCCGGGUCGGCCGUGCGAACUGGCUCGCUCGAGCACUGUAGAGGCAGGUGGAAUUCCGGGUGUAGCGGUGGAAUGCGUAGAGAUCCGGAAGAACACCGGUGGCGAAGGCGGCCUGCUGGGCAGUUGCUGACGCUGAGGCGCGACAGCGUGGGGAGCAAACAG